UACGUAGGGUCCAAGCGUUAUCCGGAUUUACUGGGCGUAAAGAGUUGCGUAGGUGGCAUGUAAAGCGAAUAGUGAAAGCGUGUGGCUCAACCACAUACCCAUUAUUCGAACUCACAAGCUAGAGCAUGAGAGAGGUAGAUGGAAUUUCUAGUGUAGGAGUGAAAUCCGUAGAUAUUAGAAGGAACACCGAUGGCGUAGGCAGUCUACUGGCUCAUUGCUGACACUAAGGCACGAAAGCGUGGGGAGCGAACGGG
rnacentral:rRNA from 1 species